GGAAAACUAUGAACCCCGUAUCUCGAGAACACACUUGGCAUGGCAGUAGAUUCUUCAACUGCUAGGUGACUCAUGCGAGGAAACAUGAAACUGAGAGCAUCAAAAGUUGGCCUAAUGUCUCGCGAGAACGGACACCAGGAUGCAUAGAACAGAAUAGCAUAGUGGUCACUUUCAUGUCCACGAGCCAGCACUCCAUCGAGGUCAUCUCCACGCACCUCAACGGCCGGCCAGCGCUCGAUCCACGCCGGGCACUCCGAUCGGAGCGCGUCGAGGAACGGAUACUCCGAUCUAGGGCAGAGAUUCUCCGCCGCCGAGCUGUGGCCGAAGACGAUGAUGAGGGCGAUGAGGAGUUUGACGAGGGAUUGCGAGGUCGCCAUGGACGGGAGGGAACGGAAUCUGAAAUUGGGGGCAAAUUGCUCGCCGGAGUCGGCGAUUUUGGCCUCUUUU
rnacentral:misc_RNA from 1 species